GUCUAUAUUGGGCCUUUGCAAAUUUAGUGUGACCUGAUCCACAUUUGUAGUUUCAGGAUGCGUGUCAUUUAUUAGCUUGGCAAUCAGGGCAGUAGAGCAUCUGACAAAAUAAUUGUUAAAGGCAUUUGCUACAUCUAAGGGAAGUUGCAGGGUUUACCCACUUUGACAGUGGAGGGUUGGGAGUGGAUUGGGGGAGUUUGUAGUUUAUUUAUGACUCUCCUAAAGUUUCUAGGGUUUGAUAGGUUAUUGUUCAGAUUUUCAUAGAAAUAUUGGGCCUUGGCUAAUUUUGUCUGUUUUGUGCAUAUAUUUCGCCAUUGUCUAUAUGCACAGUGAUCAUUCAUAGAGCCAGUACGCUUAAACUUUGACCACAAAGAAUCCCGAAACUGGUACAUUUGGAUGAGGUCAGCUGUGAUCCAGUUCAUAUGUGCUCCUUUUACCCUCACCUUCCGCAGCGGGGCAUGCAAAUUCCAAAUUUGUAGGAGUUCAGACUGAAAGAAUUCAACAGCACAGUCUAGAUCUGGGACAAUGUUUAAUCUGUGCCAUGGGAGGUUCUUG